rnacentral:rRNA from 1 species
CCUACGGGCGGCUGCAGUGGGGAUUAUUGGACAAUGGGCGAAAGCCUGAUCCAGCCAUGCCGCGUGUGUGAAGAAGGCCUUCGGGUUGUAAAGCACUUUCAGUGGGGAAGAAAGCCUUGGGGCUAAUACCCUCGAGGAAGGACAUCACCCACAGAAGAAGCACCGGCUAACUCCGUGCCAGCAGCCGCGGUAAUACGGAGGGUGCGAGCGUUAAUCGGAAUUACUGGGCGUAAAGCGCGCGUAGGCGGUCUGAUAAGCCGGUUGUGAAAGCCCCGGGCUCAACCUGGGAACGGCAUCCGGAACUGUCAGGCUAGAGUGCAGGAGAGGAAGGUAGAAUUCCCGGUGUAGCGGUGAAAUGCGUAGAGAUCGGGAGGAAUACCAGUGGCGAAGGCGGCCUUCUGGACUGACACUGACGCUGAGGUGCGAAAGCGUGGGUAGCAAACAGGAUUAGAUACCCGUGUAGUC